GGUUGAUCCUGCCAGUAGUCAUAUGCUUGUCUUAAAGAUUAAGCCAUGCAUGUCUAAGUAUAAACGAAACUUAAAAUACGUGAAACUGCGAAUGGCUCAUUAAAUCAGUUAUAAUUUAUUUGAUGGUUAAAAAGUGUCAAAACUUUUUUACAUGGAUAACCGUGGUAAAUCUAGAGCUAAUACAUGCACAAAAAUCCCAACUAUUACCUCUUUUAUUUAUUAUUAUUUGUCAAAGAGUAAUAAUAAAGAAAGAGUUAAAAUAAAAUAGAAAGGAUGUAUUUAUUAGAUACAAAUAACCAAAGAAGAAAAAUAAAAGUUAAUUUUAUUUUUCUGAAUAUUAUUGAUAAUAACAACUUUGGUGAUUCAUAAUAACUUUAACGAAUCGUAUGGUCAAUUUAUAUUAGUACCGACGAUAGUUCAUUCAAAUUUCUGCCCUAUCAACUUUGGAUGGUAGUAUAGAGGACUACCAUGGUGGUAACGGGUAACGGAGAAUCAGGGUUUGAUUCCGGAGAAGGAGCCUGAGAAACGGCUACUACUUCCAAGGAAGGCAGCAGGCGCGCAAAUUACCCAAUCCCGACAUGGGGAGGUAGUGACAAUAAAUAACAAUAUUGGAUUUUYUAAAACAAAAUCUAAUAAUUGGAAUGAGUACAAUCUAAACCCCUUAACAAGUAACAAUUGGAGGGCAAGUCUGGUGCCRGCAGCCGCGGUAAUUCCAGCUCCAAUAGCAUAUAUUAAAGUUGUUGCAGUUAAAAAGCUCGUAGUUGGAUUUAUUUAAAUUCUUUUAUUAUUUUUWUUAUUAAAUUAUUUAAUAAUUAWAAAUAAUAAGAAUUUAAUAAWAUAUUUUACUAGAUAUUCAUUAUUAUUCUUUAUUGAAUARUAAUUAUUAAUUUUAAUKUAACAAAUUAAAAUUAAUUUAUUURAUAAUAAAGAGAUUAAGAUUUAAAGUGGAUAAUAAUAAUUUCAUYWUAUUAUUAUUAUUYUGCUUAAUAAAACUGAUUAUUAAAUAGAAAUCUAGUACAUUUACUUUGAGUAAAUUAGAGUGUUCAAAGCAAACAAUUUAAAAAWWWWWAAAUUUGUAAUGAAUACUAUUAGCAUGGGAUAAUGGAACAAGACAUUUAAUCUUUUUUAAUAUGUCAAUAUUUGAAAUUGGUUUAUUUCUUAAAUGARAAGGUUUGAAAGAUUUAAUGUAAUGAUUAAAAAGGGAUAGUUGGGGGCAUUAGUAUUUAAUUGUCAGAGGUGAAAUCUUGGAUUUAUGAAAGACUAACUUCUGCGAAAGCAUUUGUCAAAGAUGUUUUCAUUAAUCAAGAACGAAAGUUAGGGGAUCGAAGACGAUCAGAUACCGUCGUAGUCUUAACCAUAAACUAUGCCGACCAGGGAUUGGAAGGUUGUUUAAAAAAAUUAAAAUAAAUUUAUUUUGAUWUWAYKAUYARAAUAAAUUUAAAAUUCUUUCAGUACCUUAAAAGAAAUUAGUAAGUUUUUAGGUUCUGGGGGGAGUAUGGUCGCAAGGCUGAAACUUAAAGGAAUUNACGGAAGGGCACCACCAGGAGUGGAGCCUGCGGCUUAAUUUGACUCAACACGGGAAAUCUUACCAGGUCCAGACACAGUUAGGAUUGACAGAUUGAGAGCUCUUUNUUGAUUCUGUGGGUGGUGGUGCAUGGCCGUUCUUAGUUGGUGGAGUGAUUUGUCUGGUUAAUUCCGAUAACGAACGAGACCUCAGCCGUUUUAAUUAGUUAACUAAAUUAAAACUAAUAUUUUAUUUUYUUKCARAAGAAAWWAAAAUAUAAUAAAARAGRGUUUUUAWUAAUUUWWAUUUUUGGAUCUGUCAAAAGUUUUAAAAAAUKAAAUUAAUAAAAAAACUUUGUUUUAAUUUAAGAUUUUCUUUUAUAUUAAUAUAUAAAAGAAAAAAAAAUUAACUUCUUAAAGGGACACUUGGUGUUUAACCAAGGGAAGUUUGAGGCAAUAACAGGUCUGUGAUGCCCUUUAGAUGUUCUGGGCUGCACGCGCGCUACACUGAUAUAAUCAACAAGUUUUUAAAUAAAUAUUAUGAAAAAAGUAAUAUUUAWWUUAGAAAACCUAAAUAGAAAUAUUUGGGRAAACUUWUWAAAUUAUAUCGUGAUGGGGAUCGAUAAUUGUAAUUAUUUAUCGUGAACGAGGAAUUCCUAGUAAGCGCAAGUCAUC
rnacentral:rRNA from 1 species